rnacentral:lncRNA from 1 species
CGGAUCGAAUGUGUUCCGCAUUAGCACUACCAGUUCGAGUUUGCACCCUAUCAGAGUCGCGAGGAUUCGAUCUUCUCGAAGCCAUGUUGCUUUGACAAGCAAAAACGAAAUUAAACAAAACACUAUGGUAAAUCCUAAAAAAAAGUGAAGCUCUAUAAGGAUCAAGGCCUCGCCGUAUCUAAACGACCCAAACAAAGAGAAUCUCGAAGGCUAAGGAAACAAAGAUAUCCCGAAACAUUAUGCUUAUCCAUUAGGAAUAUCCAGGAUAUCA